rnacentral:rRNA from 1 species
AGAGAUCAUGGCUCAGAUUGAACGCUGGCGGCAUGCCUUACACAUGCAAGUCGAACGGCAGCGCGGGGCAACCUGGCGGCGAGUGGCGAACGGGUGAGUAAUAUAUCGGAACGUACCCUGGAGUGGGGGAUAACGUAGCGAAAGUUACGCUAAUACCGCAUACGAUCUAAGGAUGAAAGUGGGGGAUUCGCAAGAACCUCAUGCUCCUGGAGCGGCCGAUAUCUGAUUAGCUAGUUGGUGGGGUAAAGGCCUACCAAGGCAUCGAUCAGUAGCUGGUCUGAGAGGACGACCAGCCACACUGGAACUGAGACACGGUCCAGACUCCUACGGGAGGCAGCAGUGGGGAAUUUUGGACAAUGGGCGAAAGCCUGAUCCAGCAAUGCCGCGUGAGUGAAGAAGGCCUUCGGGUUGUAAAGCUCUUUUGUCAGGGAAGAAACGGUGAGAGCUAAUAUCUCUUGCUAAUGACGGUACCUGAAGAAUAAGCACCGGCUAACUACGUGCCAGCAGCCGCGGUAAUACGUAGGGUGCAAGCGUUAAUCGGAAUUACUGGGCGUAAAGCGUGCGCAGGCGGUUUUGUAAGUCUGUCGUGAAAUCCCCGGGCUCAACCUGGGAAUUGCGAUGGAGACUGCAAGGCUAGAAUCUGGCAGAGGGGGGUAGAAUUCCACGUGUAGCAGUGAAAUGCGUAGAGAUGUGGAGGAACACCGAUGGCGAAGGCAGCCCCCUGGGUCAAGAUUGACGCUCAUGCACGAAAGCGUGGGGAGCAAAACGGGAUUAGAUACCCUGGUAGUCCACGCCCUAAACGAUGUCUAC